GACGAACGCUGGCGGCGUGCCUAACACAUGCAAGUCGAACGGAAAGGCCCCCUUGUGGGGUACUCGAGUGGCGAACGGGUGAGUAACACGUGAGUAACCUACCCUUGACUUUGGGAUAACUUCAGGAAACUGGGGCUAAUACCGGAUAGGAGCUCCUGCUGCAUGGUGGGGGUUGGAAAGUUUCGGCGGUUGGGGAUGGACUCGCGGCUUAUCAGCUUGUUGGUGGGGUAGUGGCUCACCAAGGCUUUGACGGGUAGCCGGCCUGAGAGGGUGACCGGCCACAUUGGGACUGAGAUACGGCCCAGACUCCUACGGGAGGCAGCAGUGGGGAAUAUUGCACAAUGGGCGGAAGCCUGAUGCAGCAACGCCGCGUGCGGGAUGACGGCCUUCGGGUUGUAAACCGCUUUCGCCUGUGACGAAGCGUGAGUGACGGUAAUGGGUAAAGAAGCACCGGCUAACUACGUG
rnacentral:rRNA from 1 species